AUACUUACCUGGCAGGGGAGAUACCAUGAUCACGAAGGCGGCUUUCCCAGGACGAGGCUCACCCAUUGUACUCCGGGUGUGCUGACUUCUGCAAUUUCCCCAAUGCAGGAAGCUCAGCUGCAUAAUUUGUGGCAGUGGGGUACUGCGUUCAUGCUCUCCCCUU
rnacentral:snRNA from 1 species